AGAGUUUGAUCCUGGCUCAGGAUAAACGCUGGCGGCGCACAUAAGACAUGCAAGUUGAACGGACUUAAUCGAAAUAUUUAUAUUUUGAAGCGGUUAGUGGCGGACUGGUGAGUAACGCGUAAGGAACCUGCCUAUUAGAGGGGAAUAACAGUGAGAAAUCAUUGCUAAUACCGCAUAUGCCAUAGAUAUCACAUGAUAACAGUGGGAAAGGAGCAAUCCGCUAAUAGAUGGCCUUGCGUCUGAUUAGAUAGUUGGUGGGGUAACGGCCUACCAAGUCGACGAUCAGUAGCCGGACUGAGAGGUUGAACGGCCACAUUGGGACUGAGAUACGGCCCAGACUCCUACGGGAGGCAGCAGUCGGGAAUAUUGCGCAAUGGAGGAAACUCUGACGCAGUGACGCCGCGUAUAGGAAGAAGGUUUUCGGAUUGUAAACUAUUGUCGUUAGGGAAGAGAAAGGACAGUACCUAAGGAGGAAGCUCCGGCUAACUACGUGCCAGCAGCCGCGGUAAUACGUAGGGAGCGAGCGUUAUCCGGAAUUAUUGGGUGUAAAGGGUGCGUAGACGGGAGAACAAGUUAGUUGUGAAAUACCUCGGCUCAACUGAGGAACUGCAACUAAAACUGUACUUCUUGAGUGCAGGAGAGGUAAGUGGAAUUCCUAGUGUAGCGGUGAAGUGCGUAGAUAUUAGGAGGAACACCAGUGGCGAAGGCGACUUACUGGACUGUAACUGACGUUGAGGCACGAAA
rnacentral:rRNA from 1 species